rnacentral:rRNA from 1 species
CGAUUCAAAUGAAGUUUUCGGACGGAUUUUGAAUUGACUUAGCGGCGGACGGGUGAGUAACGCGUGGGUAACCUGCCUCAUACAGGGGGAUAACAGUUGGAAACGACUGCUAAUACCGCAUAAGCACACAGUGCCGCAUGGUACGGUGUGAAAAACUCCGGUGGUAUGAGAUGGACCCGCGUCUGAUUAGGUAGUUGGUGAGGUAACGGCCCACCAAGCCGACGAUCAGUAGCCGACCUGAGAGGGUGACCGGCCACAUUGGGACUGAGACACGGCCCAAACUCCUACGGGAGGCAGCAGUGGGGAAUAUUGGACAAUGGGGGAAACCCUGAUCCAGCGACGCCGCGUGAGUGAAGAAGUAUUUCGGUAUGUAAAGCUCUAUCAGCAGGGAAGAAAAUGACGGUACCUGACUAAGAAGCCCCGGCUAACUACGUGCCAGCAGCCGCGGUAAUACGUAGGGGGCAAGCGUUAUCCGGAUUUACUGGGUGUAAAGGGAGCGUAGACGGCACUGCAAGUCUGGAGUGAAAGCCCGGGGCUCAACCCCGGGACUGCUUUGGAAACUGUGGUGCUAGAGUGCAGGAGAGGUAAGUGGAAUUCCUAGUGUAGCGGUGAAAUGCGUAGAUAUUAGGAGGAACACCAGUGGCGAAGGCGGCUUACUGGACUGUAACUGACGUUGAGGCUCGAAAGCGUGGGGAGCAAACAGGAUUAGAUACCCUGGUAGUCCACGCCGUAACGAUGAAUACUAGGUGUUGGGGAGCAAAGCUCUUCGGUGCCGCCGCUAACGC